rnacentral:rRNA from 1 species
AAGCGGUGCUUUUAUUAGAUCAAAACCAAACGGCUUCGGCCGUCCACCUGGUGACUCUGAAUAACUUUGGGCUGAUAGCAUUGCCUAGCGCAGGCUACGUUUCCUUCGAAGGUGUGCCCUAUCAACUUUCGACUGUGAUAUAGACGCUCACAGUGGUUUUGACGGGUAACGGGGAAUCAGGGUUCGAUUCCGGAGAGGGAGCCUUAAAAACGGCUACCACAUCCAAGGAAGGCAGCAGGCACGCAAAUUACCCAAUGGUCGAAGACCGAGGUAGUGACGAAAAAUAACAAUACCAGACUCUUCCGAGGCCUGGUAAUUGGAAUGAGUACACUUUAAAACCGUUCCCGAGGAUCUAUUGGAGGGCAAGUCUGGUGCCAGCAGCCGCGGUAAUUCCAGCUCCAAUAGCGUAUAUUAAUGUUGUUGUGGUUAAAAAGCUCGUAGUUGGAUUUCGGCGGGCAGUCCCGGGUCCCUAUCGCUAGGGCACUCGGGAUUUCAGCCCGUGUGUGUUUGACGGAAUCUCAGCGGUGCUCUUGAUCGGGUGUCGUUGGGGACCGUCAGUUUUACUUUGAAAAAAUUAGGGUGCUCAAAGCAAGCUAUUAUCGCUUGAAUAUUCGUGCAUGGAAUAAUGGAAUAGGACGUCGUUUCUAUUUUGUUGGUUUUCGGAGAUCGACGUAAUGAUUAACAGGGAUAGUCGGGGGCAUUCGUAUUCAAACGACAGAGGUGAAAUUCUUGGACCGUUUGAAGACGAACUACUGCGAAAGCAUUUGCCAAGGAUGUUUUCAUUAAUCAAGAACGAAAGUUAGAGGUUCGAAGGCGAUUAGAUACCGCCCUAGUUCUAACCAUAAACGAUGCCAGCUAGCGAUCCGUCAGCGCUUCAUCGUACGGCCUGACGGGGAGCUUCCGGGAAACCAAAGCUUGUGGGUUCCAGGGGAAGUAUGGUUGCAAAGCUGAAACUUAAAGUAAUUGACGGAAGGGCACCACCAGGAGUGGAGCCUGUGGCUUAAUUUGACUCAACACGGGAAAUCUCACCAGGCCCGGACACC